AUGUCGUCGUCGUCUUCGUCCUCGGCGGGGGCGGGCUCCGCGCUGGGCGGCUCCCACGCCGGCCUCGCCCUCGCCGCCACCGCCAUGGCGCUCUCCGGCACCCUCGUCCUCUUCUCGCUCUGCCGCGCCAAGCAGACGGACCACCACCUCGUCUCCUCCGACGCUGCCGCCACGUCCCCGUCUCCUGCUCGGCUCCGCCCCUGCAUCUCCUCCUCCGAGAAGCGGAAGCGAGAGAAGGCGCGGCGCGGGAGCAUGAAGCGGGUGCGCUUCGCCGCCGACGUCGUUGACCACGGCCCAGCCCGCUCGGCGCCGGAGGAGGAGGCGGCGCCCGAGCCGUCCUGCAGGGGCGCCGCGAUGCCGGCGAAUCGGGAGGCGCUGUACCGCGGAAUGCUCCGCGGCCGCUCCAUGCUCAGGACCGCCUGCUCCUACUAA
rnacentral:rRNA from 1 species